AAUCAACGCUGGCGGCGUGCCUAACACAUGCAAGUCGAACGCGAAAGCCCCGCAAGGGGUAAGUAGAGUGGCAAACGGGUGAGUAACACGUGGGUGACCUGCCUUCGAGUGGGGGAUAACGUCCCGAAAGGGACGCUAAUACCGCAUGACAUCCUGCUUUUGAAAAAGCGGAGAUCAAAGCUGGGGAUCGCAAGACCUAGCGCUUGACGAGGGGCCCGCGCCUGAUUAGCUAGUUGGUGAGGUAACGGCUCACCAAGGCGACGAUCAGUAUCCGGCCUGAGAGGGCGGACGGACACACUGGGACUGAGACACGGCCCAGACGCCUACGGGAGGCAGCAGUGGGGAAUUGUUCGCAAUGGGCGCAAGCCUGACGACGCAACGCCGCGUGGAGGACGAAGAUCUUCGGGUCGUAAACUCCGGUCGAGCGGGACGAACGCUUCGCGGAUGAAUAAUCCGCGGAAUUGACGGUACCGCUAAAGGAAGCCCCGGCUAACUCCGUG
rnacentral:rRNA from 1 species